UUUUGUAGUCAUACGCUCGUCUCAAAGAUUAAGCCAUGCAUGUGUAAGUAUAAAUAGUUAACUUUGAAACUGCGAAUGGCUCAUUAUAUCAGUUAUAGUUUAUUUGAUGAAGAAUACUAAUUGGAUAACCGUAGUAAUUCUAGAGCUAAUACAUGUAUAAAGUCUUGUAGACUGCAUUUAUUAGAAUGAAAACCAUAGGUUUCGGCCUAUUCGUGAGUAAUAAUAACUAAUCAUAUCGUAUGCUUAAGUAACGAUGUGUCUUUCAAGUUUCUGCCCUAUCAGCUUUCGAUGGUAGUGUAUUGGACUACCAUGGCAGUAACGGGUAACGAAGAA
rnacentral:rRNA from 1 species